UUUUAGUCAACCUUCUGAGGUGCUUGCGUGCUCAAGCCGCGAGAUAAUCGGGAAGCCAGUGAGAUUCUGGCACUGCCCCCGCAACGGUAAAAGGUGAGAGAAGACCGCGUUUGAUAAGUGAGUUCAAGACAGAACCCGAUAAUCAGAAUGUGAAAGGUCAGUCUCGCGUUAAUCCAACUUUUAAUGGAUUAACAUAGCCUAAGUCCGGAGACCGGCCCUAAAGGUGUUUUUGAG
rnacentral:ncRNA from 2 species